rnacentral:rRNA from 1 species
AACCUUUACAAUGCACGAAAGUGUGAUAAGGGGAUCCCAAGUGCUCAUGCAUCGCAUGGGCUUUUGCCAAGAGUAAAAAUCUUGGCGAAUAAGU